UACGUAGGGUGCGAGCGUUAAUCGGAAUUACUGGGCGUAAAGCGUGCGCAGGCGGUUCGUUGUGUCGGUGGUGAAAUCCCCCGGGCUUAACCUGGGAAUGGCACUUGAAACUACGGGACUGGAGUAUGGCAGAGGGAGGUGGAAUUCCACGUGUAGCGGUGAAAUGCGUAGAGAUGUGGAGGAACACCGAUGGCGAAGGCAGCCUCCUGGGCCAAUACUGACGCUCAUGCACGAAAGCGUGGGGAGCAAACAGG
rnacentral:rRNA from 1 species